GAUGAAAAUGAAACAUGGAAUCCAAUUAAAUGUAUACUGUAUAUUCUACAUUAUACACACAACACAUCAUGCUUCCACUACCUGUGGUGCUGGGGAUGUGCUAACAAGUGAAAUGUAAUUUCGUACUGAAGUGUAUAAUUGUAUUUUAUAUGUAAUUAUAGGUAUAAUGAUGUCUAGCUAUAAAGAUCACAUGGCUUAUAUUUCCAAGCUAGGAUAUAUUCUGUAACUUUCUGGUGUCAGUCAGACUAGCAUAAAUUAACGUUUCCCUCCAAUAAAUCAAGGAUGAGGGUGCAUGAAUGAACUGAAAUUUAAUGAAGAAAUGGUUCUAAAAAUAUUCUGCACUAGUUAAGCCAGUGUGCACACAGCAUCCAGGUUAGUGUAGCACUUGUGUGGUCUGAGGUAUGUAUUAGUCAUAUCAUGUGUGAUGUUGAAUUUCCUGUAUUUUUGCUCAAGGUCCUGAAUCCAGAACUUGCUUAGGCCAAUCUCUGUUCAGAAAAACACUGAAACAGGAGCUCAACUUUAAACAUGCUUAAGUCCCAUUGUUUAAAAGCAAGCAGCUUGUUAGCAAAGCAGUGCCUUCUUGAAUUGGACACAAAAUUGGUGGGAGUGUAGCAGAUUCAGCACAUCUUGGGAGCUGAGCAGCAAGUUGAAGAAUGGAUCUCUAUUGAAGAACUGAUCAGGGUAAAUUUUAUGCUGGGCUGAGUAGGCAAGAUGGGUAAAAAUGGGUAAGAAGCUUUCUGAGUUGAGUGAGUGCACUAGUGCAGUAUCUUCUAUGAUUCUCAGAGGGCUUGGAGUUCUGCUGGAUUGAUGUGCCAAACAUACCUUCAUAGGGGGUAUGAUCCUCUAGCCAGGUGUAUAGCUUAAUACAUUCUCUUGUUGUAGGUACUGUAUAGAAGCCUAUGAUACAUAAAGAAGUCCCUCCCCUCAGCAGUCUCAGAAGGUUGCUGCAGUCAACAGUAAAUGCUAACCUGGGAUCAUAAGUGGCAGCUGGCAGUAGUCUGGAGUACCCUGAGCUGUAGGUCCCUUUCUGUGCAAGAUGCACCAUUCUUUGCUUCCCAUUAUAAAUAUCCAUGUAAACACUGUACUUCAGAAGGCAGCAUAACAAGUUUCAUGUGUGUUGGGAUUAAAUUAUAAUGAAAUGACAAGCUAUAGAUUCAUGUUGCCUCUGAACAGCACAUAAACAGUUGUUAUGUUAUAAAUCAGCUGAUGCUGACCACGUUAUUCAAGGGAGUUGCUUAUUUUUUUAGGGAGACCAGUCAAUCUGAUUCUUAGAAUAUCUUCUAAAUGGGAAACAUGUCACCUCAGAUAAAAGUGUAUAAACCAAAGAAAGUUUUGAGAGCUAUCUUAAGAAAUAAUUUAAAAAAUAUUCAAUAAACAUGGCCAUAUAAUGUCUAAACUAGACAAACAGGUUGUAGACACCAAAGAAGAAAGGAAAGGAAGGCAGAAAGAAGGCAAUAAUAGACAGCACUUUUUUUCCC